rnacentral:rRNA from 1 species
UACGGAGGGUGCAAGCGUUGUUCGGAAUCACUGGGCGUAAAGGGCGCGCAGGCGGUUUGGUAAGUCAGAUGUGAAAGCCCACGUCUUAACCGUGGAAGUGCAUUUGAUACUGCCAGACUUGAGUACCAGAGGGGAAAGUGGAAUUCCCGGUGUAGAGGUGAAAUUCGUAGAUAUCGGGAGGAAUACCGGUGGCGAAGGCGACUUUCUGGCUGAGUACUGACGCUGAGGCGCGAAAGCGUGGGGAGCAAACAGG